UACGGAGGGUGCAAGCGUUAAUCGGAAUCACUGGGCGUAAAGCGCGCGUAGGUGGCUAUUUAAGUCAGAUGUGAAAGCCCUGGGCUCAACCUGGGAAUGGCAUUUGAUACUGGAUAGCUAGAGUGUAGUAGAGGGAGGUGGAAUUUCCGGUUUAGCGGUGAAAUGCGUAGAGAUCGGAAGGAACACCAGUGUCGAAGGCGGCCUCCUGGACUAACACUGACGCUGAGGUACGAAAGCGUGGGGAUCAAACAGG
rnacentral:rRNA from 1 species